UCGGCAGGCAGCGGCGGCGGUCGCGACUGCUCCUCGCGGCCCCGCGUUCAGACGCGCGCGCGUGCCGAAUAUGCGGCUCCUCGGGAUUGCUUGCGCCUCGCCGGCUCAUUCCGGCCACGAUUACCUUCGUUGACUUCGGCAUACGCGAUCGCCGUCAACGGCGGCUGAUGACGGCGACGACAACGGAUAGGGUGUCGUGAGUGCCCACAACAUUGCACUGCAUUCCGGUUUGUCCUCUCUCUGUCUGCCUACACGUCUAUGUUGUUCAGAAUUGGAGCCAUGCGACUGGAAUACUCUGGCAUCGUGCACUCUCCUUCCGCCGUCACCACUAUUUUGAUGCUCUUGUGCAUUUUCGCAAUCCAGUCGGCAAGUGGUGUGCAGAUCGUGCGGUUAUCUGUCCCCAUGUGGGUCGAGAACGGCACCGAGGACUCAGUGUUGUUGGACUGCGAGUACGCGUACACUGAGCGUGACGACUCACAGCUGGUGGUCAAGUGGUUUCUGAACGAUGACCCAAAACCCAUCUACCAGUGGAUACCCGAGCUGGAGACACGCCACGUCUCUCAGAGGCUGAAGGGGCGCCUGAACACCGACUUCACGGUCACCGCAAACCACUUCACAAAGUUCCGCGCUCUCAACCUGUUGCGACCGACCACCGAGCUGAGCGGCAGGUACUCGUGUCACGUGACUUCGCACAAUAGCCAGGACCAAAAGUCGCAACUCAUGACCGUCUAUGCACGUCCAAAGCACUUCGUGUUCAACUUCUCACGAACCGCCGAAGAAUCGGCGACCACCUUCGUCUGCGAAGCGACCGGCGCAUUUCCUUUGCCCACGCUGUCGCUGUACCAGUUAGAUGAAGGAUCUUCUGCUUCCCCACCACGGCGCCACGCCCUCACCCCAACGCAGCGGGUGACGCCCCGGCAGGACGGAUCCUACGUCACUCGCGUCUCCAGCCAAGUGCCGGACGAACAGUUCUCGCGCUCGGGUCGGCACUUGUUCGUGUGCCUACUCUCCAUACCGGGCACGGACUUCAAGAAGCAGCGACUCAUCGAGUUCUAUCCAGAAUACUACAUGGACAGCGCAACCUGCCGGGAGAUGAGUUGGUGUCUGGCACUCGCUAUGUUUGCACUGAUCUGGGCCUCACGGUAAUGUCAACAAGGGUCCGCCUACGAGGUAAGCAAGUCAUAGCAGGUAACCUGCGCUUCCGGUCAUCUGCUUUCGAGACCAAGUCAACUUCGUUCGGGAAAACUCCAAGCCCGGAUUAAAAGAAGAGAGACGUCGUACACUCCUACCGCAUAAAAGCCAAGCGGUAGUGCAACGUUCUCUGGGAGCCCAUACAACUCUAGGGGCACCUCGACUUGCCCCAUCAACUGCUAAGUGAGACGAAGGCCAAUAACAUUGCAGAAAAAAGGCUGAAGACAGAAGUGGUUCCAUUGAAUGAACGUGCACAAAGAUUUCCCUGUUAUUUCUUUUUAAUUUCACCUGUUUUACUUCAAAGAAAUGUUUCGGAGGAUAUAAGUUCAGAGUAUAACUAUGCCCGCUGUGUAAAUAAUAUAGCGCCUUGUUAAAAUGAGAAAGAAAGGUAUGCACAGGUGAAAAUAAAAAUAUCAUAUUUAUGAA